UUUUUUUUUUUUUUUUUUUGUAUUUUUAGGGCUGCACUUGCAGCAUAUUCAAGUUCCCAGGCUAGGGGUUGAGUCAGAGCUGCAACUGUUGGCCUACACCAUAGCCACAGCAACUCAGGAUCUGAGCCAUGUCUGCGACCUACACCACAGCUCACAGCAUUGCUGGAUCCUUAACCUACCGAGUAAGGCCAGGGAUCGAAACCACAACCUCAUGGAUACUAGUCAGGUUUGUUACUGUUGAGUCACAAUGGCCUUAUGUUGCUUUUCAUUUAUACACUUGAGUGAUAGAUAAUCAAAACCUUCUUUUAUCUGAAGAAGUCUUAAAAGUCUUUUAGGAGGAAUAAAAUAAAAAUUAGUGGGAUGGAUUGGGAGCUUGGGGUUAAGAGAUGCAAACUAUUGCUUUUGGAAUGGAUUAGCAAUGUGGUCCCACUGUGUAGCACUGAGAACUAUGUCUAGUUACUUAUGAUGGAGCACGAUAAUGGGAGAAAAAAGGAUGAACACAUGUAUGUGUAACUGGGUCACCAUGCCGUACAGUAGAAAAAAAGUGUAUUGGGGAAAUGAUAAUUAAAGAAUAAAAUAAAAAUUCAAAGAGAUGUAAGAAAGAAACAAUUGUGCUUUAUUAGAAUUUGCAGAUCUUUCCCCCUUAGUGGUAUAUCACAUGAUGUUGUGUUUUGUCAUCUCUUACGCCUUAGAUUUGAUGAAAUAGGACAUGCAGAGUUCCUGUCGUCGCUCAGUGGAAACAAAUCUGGCUAGUAUCCAGAAGGAUGCAGGUUUGAUUCCUGGCUUUGCUCAGUGGGUUAAGGAUCUGGUGUUGCCUUGAGCUGUGGUGUAGGUCUCAGACGCAGCUCAGAUACUGUGUUGCUCUGUCACAUAGACCAGGAGCUUUAGCUCCAAUCUGACCCCUAACCUGGAAACUUCCAUAUGUGGUGGGUGCAGCCCUAAAAAAAAGAAAAGAGAAAGAGUACAUUCAUUGUACACCAAGGGAUAUGCCACUACACUUGGUGCGAGGGGUAUAAUGUUGAGCCAAACAUGGUAUGGCCCAGAUCUCACUGCUACCAAGCUACAGCUUUAGAUGCUGGGCUGAAAAGCCUGGAUUAUGUAUUGUGAUAGGAUAUGCCUAGGGGAUUUUAAGAAUAGGAAUGAUGUGAUCAGAUAGGUUUUCAGGAAGUUAGUUCUUACAGUGAUGUACAGACUGGAUGGCAGAGAAGGAGACUGAUGGUAGGGAAGACUAGCUAGGAAGACCUUGAAAUAGUCUGUAUGAGAUAUAAUGAGGGCCUGAGUGAAAGGAUGGACUAAGAAAGAAGAGGAUUUAAUCAAUAUGAUUCCCACUGCUCACAGUUUAUGAUCAAAGAAAGCCAGCAGACAAUUUAAAGGGCCUUCACCUUGAUGGAAAAACAGUAUAGCAUUUGAGGGCUAUUGAUCAUUGAACGGAUUACACUUUCAAAAUGAUACAUAUACUGUAGGCUUAAAUUGUCCAAUAUGAAGGGCAAGGCACCAUGCUAAGCCCUGGGAAGACAAAGGAGAAUUGAGUCUUCCCAGGUGAAGGGGGUAGAGAGAGAUGGAGAGGUGAUGUGAUUACACCAAUGUGAUUAUGUGCAGUGACUGAAGGGUAAACUUGGCCUGGGAGAGCUCAAACUGAACAGCACUGCCUGGAGAUGCACGGACCUCCAAGGAGGAGUCACAUAUGACCAGACGCUUGAAGAAGUACAAAAAAAGCCACAAAGUGGAUAGUCCAAGAAAGGGUGUGCUCAUGAUUAUGUGCAGUGACUGAAGGGUAAACUUGGCCUGGGAGAGCUCAAACUGAACAGCACUGCCUGGAGAUGCACGGACCUCCAAGGAGGAGUCACAUAUGACCAGAUGCUUGAAGAAGUACAAAAAAGCCACAAAGUGGAUAGUCCAAGAAAGGGCAUGCUCAGCAGAGGUAAGCCUAUGCAAAAGCACAGAGCUGAGAAAGGGAAAAACAUAUAUGGAGCAAUUUUCAAUAUACGGGUAUGCCUAUAGACAGUAGGGAGACAUUAGAGCAAAUACAAGCCGAGGGGCUCCACGUCACAUUAAAGGGUUCCAACUUAACCCUGGAGCACUAGAGACCCACUAAAGGAUGGCCUGUAUUUCAGUUUACGUUAUUUAAAAAGGCCUUCAAAUAUUUUAUCACUCUAAAUUGGAUUACACAUAAAAACAAGCCUGAAAAGAGUUUUCAUUAAGUUUCAAGAUAAACAAUAAAAGGCAAGGGAAAAGGUUUCUAAUAUAGUCCCGUUAAAGUAUGCAAUUAAUUUAAAAUGCUUCUCAAAAAGUGAAAUGCCAAGAGCAGUAAAUUGGUGAUCAAUUUAAAAGCCCAACAUCAAAUGGAGAGGGUGACUGUUUUUAGAAUUACUCCAUGAUGCACUUAGAUGUAAGAGAAAGCAAAAGUGUCUACAGAUACUGAGUGGUCUAAAGAUCCUUUUGUUUAAAGAUAAUAUGGGGAAAAUUUCCUGUUACUUAAAAGUUUCUCUUUUAUACUUCUGAGCAUGUAAAUUUAAAUACAUACAUACAUACAUGUAAAUAUAAAUAAUAAAUGAAUGAAUUGUUAAUUUAACCUCAACAUUUUGGUUUGCUGUCAUAUUUAUAGAGUAGAUUUAAAAGAAUGCUGUCUUUGAGUUCAGAUUUACAUGCAUUUCACAAAUUUAAAAAGCUUCAAUAAAAAAUUCGGCUAAUGUUAGGCUUCUCUUUUGGAUAACAGUGGGAUUCAGCAUCAUCUUCUGCCAUUUGAGAAUUACCUUUGAAGAAUGAGUCACUUUUUUGUCCUGUAUCUUUCUACAUACAUGACGCUAAUAGAAAGAAAUCAAGUGCAGAUGGAGGCAGGAGCUAGACCAUGGUCUGUGUUUCACACAUAAAAUGUUCUGAAGUAUUUGCCAGACUCUGGGACCCUGAGCUAAGUGGGCAUUUAGUUACGUAUGCUCUCUUUUCCCCAAAUCAUCUCAUGGCCUUGUGUUUUCAACGCCACACUGUUGGAACAUAAAGCAGUCUUCUUAAUGUUACACCAGACUAAUAUUUAUACAUUUAGACCAUCGACAGAUGAAUGGAUAAAGAAGAUGUGAUGUAUGUAUAUAUGUACAGACUACUCCGCCAAAAAAAAUGAAAUAAUGACAUUUGCAGCAACACGGAUGGACCUAGAGAUUAUCAUACUAAGUGAAGUCAGAAAGAGAAAGAAAAAUACCAUACAUUAUCAUUUACAUGUGGAAUCUAAAAUAUGGUACAAAUGAAAAUACUGAUGACACAGAAACACACACAGAAAAGAUUUGUGGUUGCCAAGGAGGAGGGGUGAUGGGGGAGGAAAGGACUGGGAGUUUGCGACUGACAGAUGUAAACUUUUAUAUGCAGAAUGGAUAAAGAAGGUCCUACUGUAUAGCACAGGGAACAACAUUCAAUAUCCUGUGAUAAACCAUAAUGGAGAAGAAUAUGAAAUAUACACUUUGCUGUAUAGCGUCAAUUAAUAUAACACUGUACUUCAAUAAAAUUUUUUAAAAAUUCUGCACAUUUAACUCUGAGUUUCAGCCACUAACCAGUAAAAUCAAGAGAGCUAGAACUGAGUUUUAUUCAUUUUUGAAUCUUCUUAUAACAAAAAGCCAAAUGCCUUGCUAAGUAAAAGUAAAGAAAUCUUUGUUGAACUAAAUUACAGAUGUGUACAAGAUUUUAAAUUUUUAUUGCUAGUCUCAACAGAUAUGAGCGUUUCUGGAGAACAACAAAGAUUUUAUACUAUAUAAAGCUUUGUCUCUUUGUGCUUAUUUUAUUUUAUUUUUGCUUUUUAGGGCUGCACCUGUGGCAUAUAGAAGUUCCCAGGCUAGGGGCUGAAUUGGAGCUGCAGCUGCUGGCCUAGGCCACAGCCACAGUAAUGCCAGAUCCAAGCUGUGUCUGAACCUGCACCACAGCUCACAUCAACACCAGAUCCUUUACUGAGCAGAUCCUGCACUGAGGAAGGCCAGGGAUCGAACCUUCAUCCUCAUGGAUACUAGUUAGGUUCGUUACUAAGCUAUGUGGAACUCCAUCUUUGUGCUAUUUUUAAAUCAUUACUAUUCCAACCAGCACACUUCAGCAUAAUCAAAACCAGUAUUUAAAAAACAAAAAGAAAAAAUUCCUAUUAUUCUUUGAAACUGAACAGGCUUUGAAGGGAAUAACUGUACAUAAAAUGUCUCAAAAUGUCAAAAUUAUAAGAACAAGUCCUUUAUUCUGAAUGGUAUAUAUUUAAAGAACAACCACUAUGAUGCAUUUUCUGGAUAAGUUUCUGUUCCUUAGUGGGCAGAAUUCAUCCGUAUGAAUAAAAAUAUAUAUUAGAGCCAGUAUAUGUACUUGUAAGAUUUCCAAUAUCAUACACUCAGAUGCAGCCCUAGAUUCCAGAUGGUCCAGAACAGAAUGUUCAGAGUAUCAACUUUAAAACUCUCAUUCUCAGAUGACUGUGUUCUUGUCAUCACUUCAAGAGCAUAUAUAUUUUUUGCACUAAAACUUGAACAAAUAAACACAAUGCAAAAUUUCUUUUCAGACACUUAAGAUGUGAACAGAGUCAGGCCCCACGUCUCCAGCUUCGAUGGGUUCCACAGGAGCACAAAUAAUGUGUUACAUUCUCUCUUGGUUCCCAAUCUGUGAUGGGGACAUUGCUGAAUAGCACUCUUUGCUGCUUUACAGAAUACUGCCUGCUAAGCAGACUUGCUUCAGUUCUAGAAGCAGGAAAAGUCAAGCAUAUGACUUGAUGAGCUGCUUGUUCUCAAGAAAUAAGGAAAUGAGGAAUUACUCUUCUGAGGCACAAAAAGGAAGUAUAAAUAAUCGUAGAAGAUUGGCUUUGUUUUCAAACUCAAGAGAAAAAAAUACAUCUUUCAGAGCUUUAUAAAAUGGAAACAUUAAAGUAUUUAAGGAAUAAUUCUCCUAUGCUCAAGAGGCACCCAGGUGGCUUAAAGAUGCCUGUUUCAUUCUACACGAAAUAUGACUGAUGCCACAGGAGAGCUGGACUGUUGUAUAUGGUGAACUGCUGUUCAGUCAGCCAUGGAACAAUACCCCAGGCAAGGAGAAUAUGGAGAAUACCCCAGGCGAGGUGUUUAUUUCAGAGCAGCCUGUCCUUGUUUAUUGUCUUGAUUGUUUUUCCUUUUUUUUUUUUUUUUCUUUCUGGCCCAACCCAUGGCAUGAGGUGGUUCCCAGGCCAGGAACUGAACCCAUGGCACAGCAGCAACCCAAGCUACAGCA
ensembl:lncRNA